GGGGAAUCAAUACCCAGGAGCAGACGGGUGAGUAAUCCGUGGUCAACAGAAAUCUGUGUGGGGAAUAACUAGCCGAAAGGUUAGCUAAUACCUGCCACGAUCGUUUUGGGGCAUCUCGAGACGAUGAAAGGAGCAAUCCGCACGGAGAGGGGACUGCGUCCCAUUAGUUAGUUGGUGGGGUAAUGGCCUACCAAGACUCCGAUGGGUAGCUGGCUUGAGAGAGCGACCAGCCACACUGGAACUGAGACACGGUCCAGACUCCUACGGGAGGCAGCAGUGGG
rnacentral:rRNA from 1 species